GAUGAACGCUGGCGGCGUGCCUAAUACAUGCAAGUCGAGCGAACGGACGAGAAGCUUGCUUUUCUGAUGUUAGCGGCGGACGGGUGAGUAACACGUGGAUAACCUACCUAUAAGACUGGGAUAACUUCGGGAAACCGGAGCUAAUACCGGAUAAUAUUUUGAACCGCAUGGUUCAAAAGUGAAAGACGGUCUUGCUGUCACUUAUAGAUGGAUCCGCGCUGCAUUAGCUAGUUGGUAAGGUAACGGCUUACCAAGGCAACGAUGCAUUGCCGACCUGAGAGGGUGAUCGGCCACACUGGAACUGAGACACGGUCCAGACUCCUACGGGAGGCAGCAGUAGGGAAUCUUCCGCAAUGGGCGAAAGCCUGACGGAGCAACGCCGCGUGAGUGAUGAAGGUCUUCGGAUCGUAAAACUCUGUUAUUAGGGAAGAACAUAUGUGUAAGUAACUGUGCACAUCUUGACGGCACCUAAUCAGAAAGCCACGGCUAACUACGUG
rnacentral:rRNA from 1 species